rnacentral:rRNA from 1 species
AUUGAACGCUGGCGGCGUGCUUAACACAUGCAAGUCGAUCGGUAACAGGUGUAGCAAUACAUGCUGACGAGAGGCGGACGGGUGAGUAAUGCUUGGGAAUCUGCCUAUUAGUGGGGGACAACCCGGGGAAACUCGGGCUAAUACCGCAUACGCUCUACGGAGGAAAGCCGGGGACCGCAAGGCCUGGCGCUAAUAGAUGAGCCCAAGUCGGAUUAGCUAGUUGGUAGGGUAACGGCCUACCAAGGCGACAAUCCGUAGCUGGUCUGAGAGGACGACCAGCCACACCGGAACUGAGACACGGUCCGGACUCCUACGGGAGGCAGCAGUGGGGAAUAUUGGACAAUGGGGGCAACCCUGAUCCAGCGACGCCGCGUGGGUGAAGAAGGCCUGCGGGUUGUAAAGCCCUUUCGGUGGGGAAGAAAAGUCUCGACCUAAUACGUCGGGACCUUGACGUAACCCACUAAAGAAGCACCGGCUAACUCUGUGCCAGCCGCCGCUGUAAG